rnacentral:rRNA from 1 species
CCCCAGACUCCUACGGGAGGCAGCAGUGAGGAAUAUUGGUCAAUGGGCGCGAGCCUGAACCAGCCAAGUAGCGUGAAGGAUGACUGCCCUACGUGUUGUAAACUUCUUUUAUAAAGGAAUAAAGUGAGGCACGUGUGCCUUUUUGUAUGUACUUUAUGAAUAAGGAUCGGCUAACUCCGUGCCAGCAGCCGCGGUAAUACGGAGGAUGCGAGCGUUAUCCGGAAUUAUUGGGUUUAAAGGGUGCGCAGGCGGGUUUGUAAGUCGGGGGGGAAGCGCGGGGGCCCACCCCGCGGCCCGCCGUUGAAACUGGCAGUCUAGAGUUGGAGAGAAGUAUGCGGAAUGCGCGGUGUAGCGGUGAAAUGCAUAGAUAUCGCGCAGAACUCCGAUUGCGAAGGCAGCAUGCCGGCUCCACACUGACGCUGAGGCACGAAAGCGUGGGUAUCGAACAGGAUUAGAUACCCCGGUAC